rnacentral:rRNA from 1 species
GCCAGCCGCUCAGAAACUUAAGGAAUGACGGGGCCCGCACAAGCGGAGGAGCAUGUGGUUUAAUUCGAUGAUACGCGAGGAACCUUACCUGGGCUCGAACGUAAGAUGACUGUAGGUGAAAGCUUACAUCUCUUCGGAGCAUUUUACGAGGUGCUGCAUGGUUGUCGUCAGCUCGUGCCGUGAGGUGUCGGGUUAAGUCCCAUAACGAGCGCAACCCUACCUUUAGUUGCCAUCAGGUAAUGCUGGGGACUCUAAAGGAACUGCCUACGCAAGUAGUGAGGAAGCGGGGAUGACGUCAAAUCAGCACGGCCCUUACGUCCAGGGCUACACACGUGCUACAAUGGCCGAUACAGAGGGCAGCUACCUGGUGACAGGAUGCAAAUCUCCAAAGUCGGUCUCAGUUCGGAUCGGAGUCUGCAACCCGACUCCGUGAAGUUGGAUUCGCUAGUAAUCGCGCAUCAGCCAUGGCGCGGUGAAUACGUUCCCGGGCCUU